UACGUAGGUGGCAAGCGUUGUCCGGAAUUACUGGGCGUAAAGCGUGCGUAGACGGUCAUGUAAGUCGGGUGUGAAAGCCCCGGGCUCAACCUGGGAAUUGCAUUCGAGACUGCAUGGCUAGGAUGCGGAAGAGGGAAGCGGAAUUUCCGGUGUAGCGGUGAAAUGCGUAGAUAUCGGAAGGAACACCAGUGGCGAAAGCGGCUUCCUGGUCCAGCAUCGACGUUCAGGCACGAAAGCGUGGGGAGCAAACAGG
rnacentral:rRNA from 1 species